GACGAACGCUGGCGGCGUGCCUAACACAUGCAAGUCGAACGAGGUCCAUCCUUCGGGAGAAGACCUAGUGGCGAACGGGUGAGUAACACGUGAAGAACCUGCCCCGAAGACCGGGAUAACCCUCCGAAAGGAGAGCUAAUACCGGAUACCCCCACCGAACCGCAUGGUUUGGUGAGGAAAUGGAUUCCGCUUCGGGAGGGCUUCGCGGCCUAUCAGCUAGUUGGUGGGGUAACGGCCCACCAAGGCAUCGACGGGUAGCUGGUCUGAGAGGACGAUCAGCCACACUGGGACUGAGAC
rnacentral:rRNA from 1 species